CCAGAGAACUUUCCAGAGAUGGAUUGGUGCCUUCGGGAACUCUGAGACAGGUGCUGCAUGGCUGUCGUCAGCUCGUGUUGUGAAAUGUUGGGUUAAGUCCCGCAACGAGCGCAACCCUUAUCCUUUGUUGCCAGCGGUUAGCCGGGAACUCAAAGGAGACUGCCAGUGAUAAACUGGAGGAAGGUGGGGAUGACGUCAAGUCAUCAUGGCCCUUACGAGUAGGGCUACACACGUGCUACAAUGGCGCAUACAAAGAGAAGCGACCUCGCGAGAGCAAGCGGACCUCAUAAAGUGCGUCGUAGUCCGGAUUGGAGUCUGCAACUCGACUCCAUGAAGUCGGAAUCGCUAGUAAUCGUAGAUCAGAAUGCUACGGUGAAUACGUUCCCGGGCCUUGUACACACCGCCCGUCACACCAUGGGAGUGGGUUGCAAAAGAAGUAGGUAGCUUAACCUUCGGGAGGGCGCUUACCACUUUGUGAUUCAUGACUGGGGUGAAGUCGUAACAAGGUAGGCGUAGUGCU
rnacentral:rRNA from 1 species